rnacentral:rRNA from 1 species
GACAUAGGUGGCAAACGUUAUCCGGAAUCACUGGGCGUAAAGGGUGCGUAGGCGGGUCUUUAAGUCAGGGGUGAAAUCCUGGAGCUCAACUCCAGAACUGCCUUUGAUACUGAAGAUCUUGAGUUCGGGAGAGGUGAGUGGAACUGCGAGUGUAGAGGUGAAAUUCGUAGAUAUUCGCAAGAACACCAGUGGCGAAGGCGGCUCACUGGCCCGAUACUGACGCUGAGGCACGAAAGCGUGGGGAGCAAACAGG